GGUGGGAUACAGGUCAGUGGCAGAGUGCAUGCUUAGCAUGCAUUAGGUCCUGGGUUCAAUUCCCAGUACUUCCA
rnacentral:tRNA from 1 species